rnacentral:rRNA from 1 species
GGUGGGGGAUAACCUCGGGAAACUGAGAAUAAUACCCCAUAGGUCUAGGAUGCUGGAAUGCUUCUAGGCCGAAAGCUCCGGCGCCCAAGGAUUGGUCUGCGGCCUAUCAGGUAGUAGUGGGUGUAACGGACCCACUAGCCUGCGACGGGUACGGGCCUUGGGAGAGGGAGCCCGGAGAUGGACUCUGAGACACGAGUCCAGGCCCUACGGGGCGCAGCAGUCGCGAAAACUUCGCAAUGGGGGAAACCCCGACGAGGGGAUUCCAAGUGCCAGCACACUGUGUUGGCUGUUCUCCUGUCCAAAAAGCAGGAGGAGUAAGGGCCGGGUAAGACGGGUGCCAGCCGCCGCGGUAAUACCCGCGGCCCGAGUGGUGGUCGAUUUUAUUGAGCCUAAAACGUCCGUAGCCGGCCUGGUAAAUCCUUGGGUAAAUCGGGCAGCUUAACUGUCCGAAGUCCGGGGAGACUGCCAGGCUUGGGACCGGGAGAGGUCAGAUGUACUUCCGGGGUAGGGGUA